UCUCCCCGAGCAAAGAGGAGGCGGGGCAGCGGCAGCAGCCUGGGAAGGAGGGAGGCAAGGCAGGAGAGCGUGGAUUGAGCAAGAGAGACAAGGAGCCGGGGCCCGGGGGCAGACGGAGCAAAGAGGUACCGGGAUCCAACUAAGUGAGGGGGCACGCGGGACGGAGAAGCAACUCCUCGCCAACGGCUCAGUCGGAGCCACCAGCUUUCAGCUGUCAAGUUUGUCCAGAGACACCUUUCCGCGCCCCCCCCCCGCCAUUCCUCGCUCCUCCUGGAUUUGAGGUAGAACGUGCCUGCUGCUGGAGGCUCAUCAGAUGGUUUGAGGGUAGCCCUCUUGUUCACACUCCCAAUCUAUGGGGUUGGACUGGAGAAACUCCAGACAGGGGUGUGUUGGGUUAGCCAGGAAGUUGAACAAUUAGCCUUUCCCUACCAGGCCUGCUCCUCACCACAAAAAAAAUCCCUGGGAAGAGUGGGAUUGGUGCAUUGGAUCAUUUAUGUCCAAGCUUCUCUUCACACCGCCUUCCAAAGUUUCUCUCCAAAUGAGAAGUAAA